CCUACGGGUGGCAGCAGUGGGGAAUAUUGGGCAAUGGGCGCAAGCCUGACCCAGCAACGCCGCGUGAAGGAAGAAGGCUUUCGGGUUGUAAACUUCUUUUCUGAGGGACGAAGAAAGUGACGGUACCGCAGGAAUAAGCCACGGCUAACUACGUGCCAGCAGCCGCGGUAAUACGUAGGUGGCAAGCGUUAUCCGGAUUUAUUGGGUGUAAAGGGGGUGUAGGCGGGAAAGCAAGUCAGAUGUGAAAAAGCAGGGCUCAACCCUGAGCCUGCAUUUGAAACUGGUUUUCUUGAGUGCUGGAGAGGCGAUCGGAAUUCCGUGUGUAGCGGUGGAAUGCGUAGAUAUACGGAGGAACACCAGUGGCGAAGGCGGAUUGCUGGACAGUAACUGACGCUGAGGCGCGAAAGCGUGGGGAGCAAACAGGAUUAGAUACCCUUGUAGUC
rnacentral:rRNA from 1 species